rnacentral:rRNA from 1 species
GGUAGGGUCAGCGACUGGGGUGAAGUCGUAACAAGGUAGCCGUAGGGGAACCUGCGGCUGGAUCACCUCCUUUCUAAGG